UUUGAACGCACCUUGCGCUCCUCGGUGUUCCGAGGAGCAUGCCUGUUUGAGUGUCAG
rnacentral:rRNA from 1 species